GGAGAAGUGAAUGUAUCAAGAUGUUACAGUUUGUCAGGAGGCAGAAAAGAAAGGUGUGGUGUGUUGACCUUGGCCAGCUGACCACAUUGCUCUCUGUUCCCCUCCUCACCAAGUCAGUGGGAGAAAACAAAAAUAAAAGCUGAUAGGCCAAGGUAAAUGUAGGGAGAUUACUUACCUAUUCCCAUUGUAAGCAAAACAGGCUCUGUGGGCCACCAGGCCGCCUCUGCUCUUAGCACUCAGUGCCCUCCUCCUUCCCUCAGCAUUUUUUUCUGGCCUCAGUGUUAGCAGAGUUGUUUUUGCUUUUCCUUUACUUUGCACUGCUCUCCAGUGUUUUGCCCUUUCUGGAACAUUCGCACAGCGGCACCAGCGAUUCUUCUGAUGGGCUUAGCUGUGGAACCAGCUGUGGUAGGCCAGGCCCUUCUCCUCACAGAACCCGUCCUGCAGCCCUGCUGAUGCUAGCACCUGGCUGCCCGCAACAAAAGGAAAGGCUUGGUACCACACUGCGGAAACCACAAUCUGCUGUCCUCAUGCCAAGAUCAUAUGGGUGCUGAGCCAAGAGAACAACACAUCCCAUUCUGUGGCUCAAUGUGUCCACUACCAGGUGCUGACAAUUGUCUGUGCUCCAAACCAGCUGGAUACAAGGUAGUUCUUGCUCAAAAGUCGUGUGGCAGAGUUACUGGAAAAAGGAGCUGAAGCUACUGUAUCCCACCUUUUGCUUCAGGUGCCAAAGAAGGUAGUGACUUGGGACUAAGUCUUCCAGUGCAUCAUGUGACCAGCCCAGCUCCAGAACAGAACAAAAAACAAACUGGUUACAGCGUAUGAACAAGGUUCGGAGCAUGGAAAUUGAAUGAGAUGUCACUCAGAAACUCCAACAGAACUGAGAAUAUUUAUUUUCUGAAUUGUAAA